rnacentral:lncRNA from 1 species
GCUGAAGAGGGUGAAAAAAAACAGGGCAGGAGCAACCCCUCCACUGAAAUGCACUGGGAAGGGGGACUUAGAUACUAACACAAGUUCAAUUCAAGAAGCAUUUAUUGAACCCUCCUCAUGAGCCAGGUCAGGGUGUUCAGCACUGAGCGUGUCAAGAUGAAGACACAUAGCCUCUAAGUGUCCACCAUCUGCAAUAGCUAAUGUUUAAUUGUCCUUAAAAGUUGAAGAAUGUCGACUGGAUUGUCUGCAAAUCAGUCAUGUGAGUAGUGUUAAUCUAAUGAAGAAGAAUCUUAAAAGACAAAUUCUCCAAAUGCUGCUGCUCCUGCAUCCUGCUGCUCUACCUGCUGUGGGGAGGAGGCACUGGGAAUUAGUGUUAAACAAGACACAAAAUGUGUGCUCUCAGGAAGAUCAUAUGCCAGUGCAGAGAGAUGAUAAACACGAAUUCCAAUAAAUGCACAGAGAGUUUGUGCCAUGAAGAAAAUAAAACAAGCUGAUGAAAUUAUAACUACCAGUGACCACUCCCUGAUAUGCUGCAGAUGCAAUUGAGUAGCAGCUUCAUUCCACAUUUCUCCAACAUCUUUCAUGGUGAGGUCAAGAGCAUAUUCAAAACCAUGUGUGGCUCAGUCCAACUGGAGAGACCAAGUCAAAGACCCUCAUUUCCAUAAGGCACAGAGUGAAGAAGUGGCAAGUUACACGGCCAGAGCAUGCACAGAAGAAAACUUCGACCUCAAAUAAUACCUAGAACCAAAGUCCCUACCGCAGAACUAAAAGAUUGGGACAUGGCUGGAACUCAAGCGCCUAAACACUUUCAAAAGACUUUGCCUUCCAGUGUCUACUUGGCCUUCCAGUGUCAGACAGCUUCUUGCACAUGAUCCAUCCAGCUGAGGACACAGAUGUCAAAAAAAAAAAAAACCAUAAAUACAGAAUUCAAGAAAAUUUUACCAAUAUGUUAUAUUUGCUGUGGUUGCUUUACAGAUUUUUAAAAAUUAUUGGUCCAGUAACAGGUCUGAAAUUUAAGCCUUCUCCUGGUUUUGAAGCAUUUUUUAGGUAAGUAGUUUUCAUACUUUGAUGUAUAUCAGAAUCACCUGGGUGGUGGAUCUGGAAAUGUGUAUUUUUAAAGUUGGUGUUUUUAUUAAUAGACUUUAUUUUUUAGAACAGUUUUAGAGUUACAAAAAAUUAAGGCAAUAAUACAGAAGUUUCUCAACACACACACAUAGAGUUUCCCCUAUUAACAUCUUACAUUAGUAUGGUACCUUUGUUGCAAUUAAGGAACCAAUGUUAAUAUAUUAUUAUUAACAAAAGGCAAUAGUUUACUUCAAUUUCCUUAGAUUUUACCUAAUACCUUUGUUCUGUUCUAGAAUCCAAUUCAGGAUCCCAUAUUGUGUGUUUAGUUAUUAUGUCUCCUUAUGCUGCUCUUGGCUGUGACCAUUUCUCAGACUUCCCUUGUUUUUGGUGAUCUUGACAGUUUUAAGGAGUACUGUAAUAUUCAAGUGUUUUGUAGGAUUGCCCUAUAUUGGAAUUUGUCUGAUGUUUUAGUCUCAGGUUAUGAGUUUGGGGAAGGAGGAUCACAGAGGUAAAGAACCACUGUCAUCAUAGUCUAUAAAGGGUACAUGUUGUCACAUGACUUAUGGGUGUGGUUGACCUUGAGCAUUUGGCUUCAGUAGUAUUAGACAGAUUUCUAUGUCAUAACGUUACUCUUUCAUUUCCCCUUUCCAUAACGUAUUCAAUGGAAGGAAGUCACUAUAUGCAGCCCACACCUAAGGAAUGGGGAGUUAUGCUCCCCCUCCAUUAGGAUGUAGUCUACAUAAUUUAUUUGGAGUUUUCCUGCAUGGGAGAUUUAUCUCCUCUCUAUCAUUUAUUAAUUUAUUCAAUAAUUUAUUUAUGUCAGUAUGGACUCAUACAUAUUUAUUUUAUACUUUCAGUUAUACUCUAAAGUGACUUUAUUUAUGUUGUUUCUCAAAAUAUGCUAGCUUUGGCCAGUGGGAGCUCUUUCAGUUAGCUCAUGUACACUUUUGAUGUACCCCAUCUGUGUGUGUGUGUGUGUGUGUGUGUUGAGUAUUUACUUACUUUCUGGCACUACAAAAUGCUCUAGAGUCAUUUCAUAUAGUCACUGCCCCAGUCCUAGAAUCAACCAUUUCUCCAAAUAGCCCUGGUGCCUUUUAUUGAAGAAUAGUAUAAGAAACCAAGAUUUGAGUGCUUGGUGUGCUCCUUACUACUGGAUGUCAUUUCUUUUACACCCUGUCAGCUCACAGAGCAAAGAAAUACAUGUGCAUAUAAGAAGCUGUGUGUGUAAAUAUACAGCUUGGAAACACCUGUAUCUACUUUAAGUUAAACAUGAGUUCUUACUGAUGUCACCAACUCUACUCCAUUAUCACAUGGACCAUUCUCUCACUUAACUAUCAUCUCCCACUCAAACAGUAAGAAACCUGGC